UACGUAGGGACCAAGCGUUGUUCGGAUUUACUGGGCGUAAAGGGCGCGUAGGCGGCAAUUCAAGUCAUCUGUGAAAUCUCCGGGCUUAACUCGGAACGGUCAGAUGAUACUGCUUGCUAGAGUGCGGAAGGGGCAAUCGGAAUUCUUGGUGUAGCGGUGAAAUGCGUAGAUAUCAAGAGGAACACCUGAGGUGAAGACGGGUUGCUGGGCCGACACUGACGCUGAGUGCGCGAAAGCCAGGGGAGCAAACGGG
rnacentral:rRNA from 1 species